rnacentral:tRNA from 1 species
AGGGAAAUAGCUUAGUGGUAGAGCACAUACUUAGCAUGCACGAGGUCCUGGGUUCAAUCCCCAGUACCUCCA